UACAGAGGUCCCAAGCGUUGUUCGGAUUCACUGGGCGUAAAGGGUGCGUAGGCGGUCGGGUAAGUCUGAUGUGAAAUCUCACAGCUUAACUGUGAGACUGCAUUGGAUACUAUUCGGCUUGAGAGUUGGAGGGGGGACUGGAAUUCUUGGUGUAGCAGUGAAAUGCGUAGAUAUCAAGAGGAACACCAGUGGCGAAGGCGAGUCCCUGGACAACUUCUGACGCUGAGGCACGAAAGCUAGGGGAGCAAACAGG
rnacentral:rRNA from 1 species